rnacentral:lncRNA from 1 species
GUUAGAAUCAAUCCUUCACACAUUGUUUACUGCAUUGCACUACACUAGAAAAAUGAAAUUCAUGAUCCUUCAGUUGUGUGCUUUUAUGGGUAACGUAGACAUUAUAUAUAUAUUAUAUAUAUCUGAAAUUAUUAUAUCUUUAACUUGUUAAUGAUUUUAUUCAUAUAUAUUUUUUUAAUCUGUUAUUGGCGUUUAAGUAAUAUGGGUUGUUAACUCACAAACCAAAUAUAAUUCCAAAUAAUGCAAAUGUUAAUUAUUUUAUUUCAUACUAAAGCGAUGCAAAAAGGUUUAUAUCCGGCGAAAGAAAUUUAAACGUUGAAUUGUCCUGGUUAUUCUACUUUGAGGCUCCCUCAACCCCCCUCUCUCCCGCCACGAACUAAUGCAAAGGAUCUGAAGUGGCGUUAAACAUCAAACAACUUAUCUAUCAAUCAAUAUUAUUUAUCUUAGGCAUAUGCAUGGUGACAAGCAAAGAGUUUUGCAGCAAGGAUACGGACUGUAAUAUAACUAAAUGUACAGCUAACAUCACUGUACAAUGUUUGUAUGGGAGCUGUAGUUGUGUUGAAAACACUUCCAAUGGUAAGAUAAAUCGAUAAAACAAAUCACAUGUGCUUGUCAACUCGUUUGUCAUUACCAUCGUUUAUGUUUGGUUAAUUUUUCUUCUGUCACUUUUAUACGACCAUUUGCCUAUUAUAAUUUUUUAAAGUUUUUGUGUGUGAAUAGAGGUUCCUGGCGGUUAACGAUAUUACUGAGGAUAAAAUGCAUAAAACGCUAACCUAUGUACAUACGACGAUGAUAAAUAUGUCUCAAUUCUUCUUCGUUGUCCUGAUAUUUUUCAAGUUUCAUUCCCUUUAUAUGUGUUAUUCCAAUAAUACCGAAUACAUUUAAUGCAAUUUCUUAUGCUCCUAAUAUCUUGAUGGUUAUCACUUGAAAAAAAAAGAAUAUAAUACAUAUCUAUUUAAAGACAUUCUAACACGUGUUAGGGUUAGAACAACUGUUUGCCUUAGAAAAUAUUUAGAAGUUAACCAAAAAGGAGACUACAUUUUAUCAAUCAUGUCAUUUACCCUUCCGGAGCACCUGAGAUCGCCCCUAGUUUUUUUGUGGGGUUCGUGCUGUUUAUUCUUUAGUUUUCUAUGUUGUGUCGUGUGUGCUGUUGUUUGUUUGUCCUUUUCAUUUUUAGCCAUGGCGUUGUCAGUUUGUUUUGAGUUUGACUGUCCCUUUGGUAUCUUUCGUCCCUCUUUUAGAUAACAUAAACCUCUAUCAUGCAUAUCAUGAAGCAAAAGGGUAUUCAGUCGAUAUAUAAAGUUGUUAUGUAUGCAAUUCAAAUUAAAAUAAUCAUUUUGAGGUUGAACUUAAUUGUAUCAGAACAUUGGAAAUUAGUAGCUCCAAAAAUACCUAGCAAAAAGAAAUAAGAAACAAUGAAAAAAGUCAACGUCGUCAACCGUUUUCUAUAAAAAAAAGCUGGCAAAACGGUAAACUUUAUAUUCGUUUCCAACAUCAAGUUGUCUAUAUAUCUCAAAAAAAUACAAAUACACAAAUACAGGUUAAAAAAGAGGGACGAAAGAUACCAAAUGGACAGUCAAACUCAUAAAUCUAAAACAAACUGACAACGCCAUGGCUAAAAAUGAAAAGGACCAACAAACAACAGCACACACGACAAAAAAUAGAAAACUAAAGAAUAAACAACACGAACCCCACCAAAAAACGAGGGGUGAUCUCAGGUUUAAAGCUGUAUGAUGUGAAAUCCCAAAAUAAGUCAGACUUCGUGCAGAGUUAACCUUCUACUUAUAUUUUUGCGUUACAAGAGUUCAAAGUCGGUAAAUUAACUGAUGGACGAAUGUUCUGAUGUAAGAUGGAAGACCGCGAAAAAAUGUUGCAUGUGAGUUACGAUCAAGCCAUAUCGAAUCGGUCAACCACUUUGAGAUGUUGACCAUAAAACUGACGUAGUGUCAAUUUCAAACUGCCUUAACUCUGUUAGAGAAGAUUUUGUGUCAAGAGCAAACCGCUGUUCAUGAAGUUUAUUGUGUGUAACGAUGAAAUAUUGUAUCAUAUUGUAUAUACCAUGUAACUAUAUGAACACGUCAUACGAGUGGCCAGAUGGUAUGUUAUUACUUAGAAAAAUAUUUUUCAUACAUUAUUUGUUGUUAUAUGUUGAUGUCAAACAAAUUGAAUAAAUGAUAACUUCCGAUCUAUAUAUAAUUUUAGUUUGUGCCGGACUUUUUGAUUGUGUUUCAAACAUUUGUACCAAUGGUGGAAUAGGAACGUGUGUUCAAUCAAAGUGCAUUUGUGUACAUAACCAAGGUAGAGACUAUAAUAAUAGCCAGGAAUUCAAUGUAAAUAGCUAGAAAUUGAAAAUUGUUGUAUAAUUUCUGAUAAUGAUUCAUGCAACAUAUGCAAAAUUCAUCAUUAUUAUAGUUGCAUCAGUCUUAUCAAGUUGACGAUGCAUACUAACAUAAAAUUGCUAUGCCUCAAAAACAACUGCUGAGCGGCCAUAAUGUUUUAUUUGAAUUUUUUUUUUGAAAAAUGAAAUAAAAGGUUAACUUAUUAUUGCUUCUUUAAUUAAACAAAAUUGUACAAUUGUAGCAUGUAGCAGUGUCAAUGAAUGCUCAACCUUAGACUGUAACACUGGGAGUGUUAAGAACUGUAUCAACUCACAGUGCCUGUGUGUAAUACAGUGACCGGAAUAUCAGAUAUUGCCAGACAACAAAUAAUAGCUGACACCCAUGUCAUUUGAAAUCUAGUGGAUAGUUGUCUCAUUAGCAAACAUACCACAUCUUCUUA